rnacentral:misc_RNA from 1 species
GAUGAAGAACGCAGCGAAAUGCGAUAAGUAGUGUGAAUUGCAGAAUUCAGUGAAUCAUCGAAUCUUUGAACGCACAUUGCGGCCAUAGGUAUUCCUUUGGCCAUGCCUGUUCGAGCGUCAUUUACACCCUCAAGCCUAGCUUGGUGUUGGGCGCCUGUCCCGCCGUUUUCGCGCGCGGACUCGCCUCAAAGUCAUUGGCGGCGGUCGUGCCGGCCCCCUCGCGCAGCACAUUUGCGCUUCUCGGAGGCCCGGCGGAUCCGCGCUCCAGCAAGACCUUUCACGACUUGACCUCGGAUCAGGUAGGGAUACCCGCUGAACUUAAGCAUAUAAUAAGCGGAGGA